rnacentral:rRNA from 1 species
GACGAACGCUGGCGGCGCGCCUAACACAUGCAAGUCGAACGGACGACCCCUUCGGGGGAAGUUAGUGGCGGACGGGUGAGUAACACGUGAGUAAUCUGCCUUUGUGAGGGGAAUAACGUUCGGAAACGAACGCUAAAACCGCAUAAUGUAUAACCAUCGCAUGAUGGUUAUACCAAAUAUUUAUAGCACAAAGAUGAGCUCGCGGCUGAUUAGAUAGUUGGUGAGGUAAUGGCUCACCAAGUCGACGAUCAGUAGCCGGACUGAGAGGUUGAUCGGCCACAUUGGGACUGAGACACGGCCCCGACUCCUACGGGAGGCAGCAGUGGGGGAUAUUGCACAAUGGGGGAAACCCUGAUGCAGCGACGCCGCGUGAGGGAAGACGGCCUUCGGGUUGUAAACCUCUGUCAUCGGGGACGAUAAUGACGGUACCCGAGAAGGAAGCUACGGCUAACUACGUGCCAGCAGCCGCGGUAAUACGUAGGUAGCAAGCGUUGUCCGGAAUUACUGGGUGUAAAGGGAGCGUAGGCGGGAAGUUAAGUUGAUUGUAUAACUUAUGGGCUCAACCCAUAAUCGCGAUCAAAACUGGCUUUCUUGAGUGGAGUAGAGGCAGGCGGAAUUCCUAGUGUAGCGGUGAAAUGCGUAGAUAUUAGGAGGAACACCAGUGGCGAAGGCGGCCUGCUGGGCUCUAACUGACGCUGAGGCUCGAAAGCGUGGGUAGCAAACAGGAUUAGAUACCCUGGUAGUCCACGCUGUAAACGAUGAUUACUAGGUGUGGGGGAGUACCUCCUCCGUGCCGGAGUUAACACAAUAAGUAAUCCACCUGGGGAGUACGGUCGCAAGACUGAAACUCAAAGGAAUUGACGGGGGCCCGCACAAGCAGUGGAGUAUGUGGUUUAAUUCGAAGCAACGCGAAGAACCUUACCGGGUCUUGACAUCCCUUGCAUAACUCAGAGAUGAGUGAAAUCUUUCGGGACAAGGAGACAGGUGGUGCAUGGUUGUCGUCAGCUCGUGUCGUGAGAUGUUGGGUUAAGUCCCGCAACGAGCGCAACCCUUAUGUUUAGUUGCUACGCAAGAGCACUCUAAACAGACUGCCGUUGACAAAACGGAGGAAGGUGGGGAUGACGUCAAAUCAUCAUGCCCCUUAUGACCCGGGCCACACACGUACUACAAUGGUGAUAAACAGAGGGAAGCAAUACAGCGAUGUGGAGCGAACCCCCAAAAAUCAUCUCAGUUCAGAUUGCAGGCUGCAACUCGCCUGCAUGAAGUCGGAAUUGCUAGUAAUCGCAGAUCAGCAUGCUGCGGUGAAUACGUUCCCGGGCCUUGUACACACCGCCCGUCACACCAUGAGAGCCGGUAACACCCGAAGUCAAUAGUCUAACCGCAAGGAGGAACGUUGCCGAAGGUGGGAUUGGUAAUUAGGGUG